rnacentral:lncRNA from 1 species
CACCUAUGUUGGAUUCAUAUCAAUAUAUGGCAAAACCAAUACAGUAUUGUAAACUAAAAAAAAGAAAAAAAAGAAUAAAAAACCAAGCUUUUACUUUCAUUGAUCUUUGCUGUUUUCUUUAUUUCUAUUUCAUUCUUUUUUUCUUUUACUUUUUUAGUAGUCCUUCAGGGGCCAGCUUGCCUGCCAAUGGACCAGACCCAGCAGCUGCAACUGGACCCUUUUGUCCCUGGUCUCCUCCUGACGUGGACAAUUGGCCAGAGUGCCCCAACCGACACUGUUAAAUAAGCCACGUUUGCACAUUAUUGGCUGAUGUAUUUUGCUGGGGUAAGUCACAGUUACAACUUAUUAAUCUGAUAAUUUUUUGUCAGAUUUGGAAGCUAAAUAUCCUAUUAUUAUAGUAUACGUCUAUGGCUCAGAACCAGUAUUCAUUUAAAAUUCAGAAAAUCUUAUUCUUAUGAAAAAUUCAAGUGAACUUUGAUAUAUCAUACUUGUGUGGAUAAACUAGCAAAAUUUCUGAUAUUGAUAUGUUCAAGGUAACUACAGUUUUAGUAUCAUAAUGAAUAACAACAGUAUACUAACAUGGCAGUGGAGAUCUUUAUCUUAUCCUUGCUGAAGUUAUUAUUAGAAUAUAUUGAUUGUACUUAUAGCAUUUAUAACAGUCAUCCUCUGUAUUUAUGUUGUAUCUAUAUUUUCUUGAUCCUGAGCUCCUAGAGGGCCAAGUUAGUAUCUCUAUAUCUUCAUAGUACUGUGCAAAAUUAUAUCAUACAGCUACUAUCUUUAAGUGUGUGUUGCUAACGUCACAUCAGUCAUGUCCAACUCUGUGCGACCCCAUAAAUGGCAGCCCACUAGGCUCCUCUGUCCUUGGGAUUCUCCAGGAAAGAAUAUUGGAGUGGGUUGCCAUUUCCUUCUCCAAUGCAUAACAGUGAAAUUGAAGUCUCUCAGUCAUGUCCAACUCUUAGUGACCCCAUGGACUGCAGCUUACCAGGCUCCUCCGCCCAUGGGAUUUUCCAGGCAAGAGUACUGGAGUGGGUUGCCGUUGCCUUCUCCGUGUUGAACAGAAUAUAAAUGAUUACUCCAUUUCUACAAGACUGUCCUUUUUAAUGCCAUGAGGCAUAGGUAAGAUUAGUAUUCUACUUAGAGGUAGAAUUUUGCAAGUGUGUACUUCUUGGAGGGUAGUGUAGAGAAAUGGUUAAGAAAUAUAAAACCUAGGAUCAAAGAAAACAACAACAAAAACUGGAAUUCUUCUUACAUAACAUUGAAAAAAACUUCUUAAACUACCAGCGUUUUGGUAUGUGUAAAAUGAGGAUGAUAUUAUUAAUGUGGGUCACAGAUCAUAGACUUAGCUCAUUUCCAAGCUCAGCACCCUUCACAAUGCCCUCCAAGAUUCCCUGCUAUGUUGAGUAGUCCUGCUGUCUAGUUCAGAGACCUCCAGAACCACUUGAAGUCACUCAUAACUUCCCUCCAAAUUGAGCUUAGAUCGCUACUCUAGCUUUAAGUAAAUGUCACAUACUGACCAAGAUUUCUUUCUUAUGUUUGGAAAGAAAGUGUAUGGGAAUAUAUAAACAAAGAUAAUUAAUAGUUGUUCUCCUUUCUAUAGUAUUUUGAGGAAAAUACAACUGUGAUCAUCAAAAUCCUGAACAUAUUAUCAGUCGAGACAUAAAAGUAUGUAUAUAAAAUAAAAAUGCAUGAAAGCCUUUACCUUCAUGUUAUUCUAAUCUAGAAAUUAAUGCUUCCUAAGAGUGUUUUAAUAAUUAAAUGAGA